AUUGAACGCUGGCGGCAGGCUUAACACAUGCAAGUAGAGCGAGCGGCGGACGGGUGAGUAAUGUCUGGAAAACUGACUGAUGGAGGGGGAUAACUACUGGAAACGGUAGCUAAUACCGCAUACCAGCAGAUGUGCCCAGAUGGGAUUAGCUAGUAGGAGGGGUAAUGGCUCACCUAGGCGACGAUCCCUAGCUGGUCGGAGAGGAUGACCAGCCACACUGAAACUGAUGCACGGGCCAGAGUCCAAAGGGUGGCAGCAGUGGGGAAUAUGGCACAAUGGGCGCAAGCCUGAUGCAGCCAUGCCGCGUGUGUGAAGAAGGCCUUCGGGUUGUAAAGCACUUUCAGCGAGGAGGCGUUACUCGCAGAAGAAGCACCGGCUAACUCCGUGCCGGCAGCCGCGGUAAUUC
rnacentral:rRNA from 1 species